CACGUAGGCGGAUUUCUAAGUCAGGGGUGAAAUCCUGGAGCUCAACUCCAGAACUGCCUUUGAUACUGGGAAUCCCGAGUCCGGGAGAGGUGAGUGGAACUGCGAGUGUAGAGGUGAAAUUCGUAGAUAUUCGCAAGAACACCAGUGGCGAAGGCGGCUCACUGGCCCGGUACUGACGCUGAGGUGCGAAAGCGUGGGGAGCAAACA
rnacentral:rRNA from 1 species